rnacentral:rRNA from 1 species
GGCGGACGGGUGAGUAACGCGUAAGGAACUUGCCUCUUGGACUGGGACAACUGUUGGAAACGACAGCUAAUACCAGAUAUUAUGAGAUUCUCGCAUGAGAAAUUUAUGAAAGCUAUAUGCGCCAAGAGAGAGCCUUGCGUUCCAUUAGCUAGUUGGUGGGGUAACGGCCCACCAAGGCGACGAUGGAUAGCCGGCCUGAGAGGGUGAACGGCCACAAGGGGACUGAGACACGGCCCUUACUCCUACGGGAGGCAGCAGUGGGGAAUAUUGGACAAUGGGCCACAAGCCUGAUCCAGCAAUUCUGUGUGCACGAUGAAGGUCUUCGGAUUGUAAAGUGCUUUCAGUUGGGAAUAAGAAAGUGACGGUACCAACAGAAGAAGCGACGGCUAAAUACGUGCCAGCAGCCGCGGUAAUACGUAUGUCGCAAGCGUUAUCCGGAUUUAUUGGGCGUAAAGCGCGUCUAGGCGGAAAAAUAAGUCUGAUGUUAAAAUGCGGGGCUCAACUCCGUAUUGCGUUGGAAACUGUUUUUCUAGAGUACUGGAGAGGUGGGCGGAACUACAAGUGUAGAGGUGAAAUUCGUA